rnacentral:rRNA from 1 species
CGGCCGGGGAUUAGUGGCGAACGGGUGAGUAACACGUGGGCAAUCUGCCCUGCACUCUGGGACAAGCCCUGGAAACGGGGUCUAAUACCGGAUAUGACACGCUCCCGCAUGGGAUGCGUGUGGAAAGCUCCGGCGGUGCAGGAUGAGCCCGCGGCCUAUCAGCUUGUUGGUGGGGUGAUGGCCUACCAAGGCGACGACGGGUAGCCGGCCUGAGAGGGCGACCGGCCACACUGGGACUGAGACACGGCCCAGACUCCUACGGGAGGCAGCAGUGGGGAAUAUUGCACAAUGGGCGAAAGCCUGAUGCAGCGACGCCGCGUGAGGGAUGACGGCCUUCGGGUUGUAAACCUCUUUCAGCAGGGAAGAAGCGAGAGUGACGGUACCUGCAGAAGAAGCGCCGGCUAACUACGUGCCAGCAGCCGCGGUAAUACGUAGGGCGCAAGCGUUGUCCGGAAUUAUUGGGCGUAAAGAGCUCGUAGGCGGCUUGUCACGUCGGAUGUGAAAGCCCGGGGCUUAACUCCGGGUCUGCAUUCGAUACGGGCAGGCUAGAGUUCGGUAGGGGAGAUCGGAAUUCCUGGUGUAGCGGUGAAAUGCGCAGAUAUCAGGAGGAACACCGGUGGCGAAGGCGGAUCUCUGGGCCGAUACUGACGCUGAGGAGCGAAAGCGUGGGGAGCGAACAGGAUUAGAUACCCUGGUAGUCCACGCCGUAAACGUUGGGAACUAGGUGUGGGCGACAUUCCACGUCGUCCGCGCCGCAGCUAACGCAUUAAGUUCCCCGCCUGGGGAGUACGGCCGCAAGGCUAAAACUCAAAGGAAUUGACGGGGGCCC